UUGGGAGCUCAUUGGUUUCGGGUUCCAUCGGAACUUCGAAGUUAAGCGAGUUCGUGCGAGAGCAAUCCCAUGAUGGGUGAUCCACUGGGAAGUUGCUCGUGAGUUCCCAGAAAUAAAAUCGUGAGGGCGUGGUCGAGGUCCAAAGCGGACGAUAUCGUACUAUGGUGGAAUCGAGCCCGGGAUGUGGUGGGGGCUCAAGCCGGGAUGUGACAUGCUAUUUACAUUUUACACAACCAUUUUUAUCUCUUACACUUAUUAAUUUUUUGUUAUUGAUUUUUUUCAAUUCAUUCGACGUGACGGUCGGGAAUUAAGAGAUGUGUGUAAGAAAAAAAAAUAAGUGUGUGGAUAGCAUUACCAUUAUAUUAUUCUAGUUUAGAAAAUUAGGAAAAUCAGGGUAGACGAUGGAUUGUUCUAUUAGUUCUUCUCUAAUUUACCGUGUCUCGAACUCAAAAUCCCUUUCUAAACUUAAGAUACACUAAGUUAUAAAACUUACUGAAUGACAAGAAGACCGCAUAGCGCAGUGGAUUAGCGCGUUUGACUUCGGAUCAAAAGGUCGUGGGUUCGACUCCCACUGUGGUCG
rnacentral:sRNA from 1 species